GCCCGGCUAGCUCAAUGGUUAGAGCAUUUCACUUCUAUAUCAUUAUUGAUAAUGAAAAGGUUGCGAGUUCGAGUCUCGCGUUGGGUU